AUUGAACGCUGGCGGCAUGCUUUACACAUGCAAGUCGAACGGCAGCGCGGGCUUCGGCCUGGCGGCGAGUGGCGAACGGGUGAGUAAUACAUCGGAACGUGCCCAGUAGUGGGGGAUAGCUCGGCGAAAGCCGGAUUAAUACCGCAUACGACCUGAGGGUGAAAGCGGGGGAUCUUCGGACCUCGCGCUAUUGGAGCGGCCGAUGGCAGAUUAGCUAGUUGGUGGGGUAAAGGCCUACCAAGGCGACGAUCUGUAGCUGGUCUGAGAGGACGACCAGCCACAGUGGGAGAGAGAGGCGGCGAGGACACAGAGGGGAGGCGGAAGGGGGGAUUUUUGGAGAAUGGGGGGAAGCGUGAUCCAACAGGGCGGGGUGUGUGAGAAAGCCCUUCGGGUUGAAAGGCACGUUGGGGGGAAAGGAAAAGGACUGUGCGAAUACCACGGUGCGAGGAGGGGACCCGCAGAAUAAGACAGGGCAAAUUAGGGC
rnacentral:rRNA from 1 species